CCAUGGGCAGCCUCUCCACCGUCGCCACUUGUCCACCUUCUCCAUCCUCCAGCCGCCGUGGCCCUGUGAACCCAUCAUGGACCCGCUUGAACCCAUCGGGGCCCGAGCCAGCUCACGCGCCGCCGCCAUUAGUGCCCGCCUCCGCCGCUCGCGCCCGAGCUCCCCUCACCAUGCCGCCUGCUCACCCUCGCGCGAGAUCUCCUGUCGACCUGCCAGAGACCACAACCGGAACGGGCCGACCUCGCCGCCUCCUCUCCUUUCUCCUCCAUUUCUCUCCCUUUCCACUCUAACCCUCUAUCUCUAUUGCAGUCAUGGAUAGGCGCCAUGGACGCACCCAAGCUCGGAGCUCAUGCCGCCACCUUGCCUCGCUGCCGCCUCGGGCCAGAUCCGGCGGCCAUGGCCCCUCCUGCGGCCGGAUCCGGCCCGAUCUGCCCACCUGCGCCGCUCCCCUACUGUUCGUCGACCCCGCCGCCACGCCGAACCGUCGCCAUGGCCUUUGUUUCGCCCGCUGGUACGUCCUCAUCUCAGGAUCCGCCAAGCCUUCCAACCAAAGAACAUCUGGAACCGCUCCAUCCUAGUUUUCCUGCGAGGUCGGAUUUUUCCUUGUCCUCAGAUUUUUCACAUCAGAUUGUAUUUUGUGAUGAUGGUAACUUUGUGCAUGUUUGUCCGAUGGAAAUUAUCUUUCUAUGAAAAGUGAUCUACUCUUUGUGUGCUUAAUGAUGGUUGCAUUUGCAUCCUGCAUAGGAUUCAUCUACAUGUUGUAAUCUCUGUUGCAAAAGUGCAUCAUGUCGUAAUCUACAUAAAAUUGUUAAAACAUUCAAACUUACGUUGAUCCUUGCCACCAAUCCAUAACUCAUAUGCAUAUGAUUCCUUAAGGUGUUUUGCACUAUGAAGUGUUUAUUUUAAUGCGAUGCCCAUGGAUGCCAUGUCAAUUUUCUUUGGCAUGUCUAUUUCUUCCUCUUAAGUGGCUAUCAUGGUAUAAAUACAUUCCUAUUAACACAAAGUUCCAUUUUGUAAAAAUCAUAGUAAUUAAUAAAUGCAUCCUAUGAAUUUGUGCCUAUGAAGUAAAAUGAACAUUGCAAUGUAUAAUGCAUGUACAUAUAUUAUUCAUAAAUAUUGAAAUUGGUUUACUUAAUGUUUAGUGCAUCUCAAUUCAGCAUCAUAAUUUUACUGUUUUCGAAUUCCCGGAUUUUCCCGAAGUCCUAGAACUUAGCAAAACAUUGCAUUUUGCAUAAAUCAUAUUAAAUUAACCAUGAUGCCUAUGAACCCGAACCUUAUAUGAAAAUUGUAGCAUGUUCAAGCAACAAUAAAUGCAGAUCCUUUUCAUAUGUUUUAACAACAUGCAUAUUGAUGUUCCGUUGCUCCCAAGUAGGCAUCUUGUUGUUUUGGCAGAUUACAAUCAACACAAGUUGUUCAGGUACGUGAUAGAUUAUGUUAUAUGUAUCCAGUUUGCUUGAUACUUUGUUCAUGUAAACAUACAUGCAUCUAAAAUUGUAAUUGUUUCAUUCUAGGCAAUGUGUUUGGUUACAGAUAUGGGAACACAUUUGAUUAACUAAAGAAAUGAUGGUUGUGAUCCACUCUUAUAAGAUGCCAAAGCCUUUUGCAGCAAAAAUGGCAUUCAGAUACUAAAUAUGGAUGCCAUGUUUAUUAAAUGGGGGAAAACCAAGAAAAGGUGGGACAAACAGUGUCACUAUUGAUCAUUUUUUCCAUGUGGUCACCUUCUAUGAUGUUAUAGACUCUAUCGCCACAAAGGUUGAUCAUCAUUUUAAUGAGGUAUCUUCAAAGUUGCUCUAGAACUUCUCUUGUCUUGACCAUGGAGACUCGUUUUCUAGGUUCAAUGUGAAAAAGCCUGAGACUCACUUAGAUUUAUCAAGAGUAUUUCUCUUAGUAUGAACGUGAACCUAUAGAAGAUAACCUUGAGCUAUUCAUUAUUCAUACGAGAAGAAUUGAAAACAUGUCAUGAUAUUGCAAGCUUGGCUAAAAAGAUAGUUGAACUUGAAUGAUACAACAUGAUUCCUAUGAUUUAUCUCCUCAUUGAGUUGGCAUUGCUAGUACCAGUAGUGACGAAAACAAUUGCAAGAGCCUUCUCAGCAACGAAAAUCCUUAAGACCGAGUUGAGCAACAUGAUGUCCGGUGGUUGGCUUAGCUAUUCGGUGGUGUGUUACAUUGAGCGAGGAGGGAUAUUCAAAAGUCUUCAUCAUGGUAAAUUAAGAAAGAUUUUCAAAAAGAAGGUAGGGCAUUACCAUUGCCUGGGUCUUCUAGACAUCAUUGAAAGUUUCAUUAUUGGUAUGUUUUCGAUUAACGAGUAAAAUUUCUCGCUGUGUUGCAUUAGUGGGAUUUGAUAUGCCUCGUCGAGAAUAGCUAUGUUUUGAACAUGAUUGAGAUUUAUCAUAUUUGGUGAGAACUGCUAAAAACGGGAUGAUUUCUAUGCAUGUUUAUGAAUCUCGGAGGAUUAUAAACAAAAUCUAACACUAGUGUUUGAUAUUUUUAAUAGCUAGAUACAUAUUUUUUUAGUUGUUAGGAUUUACAUCUUUGAGGUUAGCUAUAGUUGGUUUUUUAGCAAAAGCUAUAGUUGGUAAAAUUUACAAGAAUAAUAUCCCAAAUCAAGGGUAAUUAUUUUGUAUUGAUUAACAGCUAUACAUGGGCCAAAAAUGUACAAUGGUGGUCUACACGCGUCAUGUCCAUCUAUAUGACAAUGAACCCUCAAACAAAUCUCUCUUCUUUUGACAAAAAUAAUCAAUUUAUGAUGUAGCAGUAAUUUGACAACUAAAAAAUGACCCAGGUCAACAAAAAAUGGUCGGGUUUCCGUGGUGCCUGUCAUGAUUUUAAGAUCAACGGUCCAUGCAUGUUGUCAUUAUCCAAUAUUAAUUUAUCGCCAAGAUCUUUGGAGAUUUUCUCUUUUCUAUAGGCACUACUAAUUAUAGGGAUUAAUAAUAUCUAUCUUUAGAGUUGUCAAUGCUCUUUUUAUACUCUAACCUCAUAGAUUUCGUUUCACAUCCUAUCCUUACGAGUUUUCCUCGUCUUCGUUGAUCUUAACUAGCAAAUCGUAACCUUAGACACAAGUGGGUAAUAUUUGUCAAGCCAAGUGACACCACGGAGACCAUGGAUGUCAAGUACCACAACGGCUUCGUCAAGAGGGUGAGGCAGGCGGCCGUUGUGCCGGCAGUGGAAGGGGUGAAGUACAAGGAGUGCGGCAGGAAUCAUGCGCUGACUAGUGGUGGGCACGUCGUGGACGGCUGCGGGAGUGAAUACCGUUGGGGGACCUCAACCCCGCUGACGCGUCGUCAUACAAGUGCACGACAUGCGGAUGACACCACAACUUCCAUCGCAAGGUGAUGACGGAGAGGUCGCCGCUGUUGUCGCCCAUGGCAAGAACCGUCAUAGUAGUUGAGCCUAACUGCAAAAAACGCUAACAUAAAAAAAACUUGUCAUGGUAGCUGAAAAAUGUCCCAUGGUAGACGAAAAACGUCUAACACUGGUGUGUGAUGCUGGUGGGAGGAGACGGGAAGGUCCGACAGCGGAGGAGAAUGCAUCAGAGGCGUUGUGGCCAUUGGGUUACUUGCGCUUAUUUUUGUGCCUCCGGUUCCUGAAGAUGUCCUUACUGAUGCCAUUGUCAUGGCACCUCGCUUCGAUGAUGUCCUUAUCGUGCUUCUGCAGGCGCCACCCUAGGUGCUUCGACAGCUCCUGCAUGCGCAUCUUCUGGUAGGCAGUGAACAUGGUGCGGGACCAUUUCCUCGCCGACAUAACCACAUGGGGCGGUGGUGCCGUCACCGGCAAGAGCUGGGCGGGGAGCCUCUGGAUCUGCAGUGCCCCCAGCAGGCGGCUGUGUCAUGGAGAAAAGAUGUACACAGGCAGCUGCUAUGCCAUCGGUGUCGGAGGAUACACAGGUGGAGGCUGAUGUGGUGGGGAGAUGGAGCUCGUCGUCGUACUCCGUGGCAUCCGAGUCAUACUCCAUGCCAUCCGAGUCUGAGUAAGAGUCGGUGACCGGGAGCCAGUCCUCCGGUGUCUGCUCCUCCCCGCGCUACGGCUGGCCAUGGAAUACGAUUGCAGCCAUGGGCGGUAGCAGCAGCAACCUCUCCAUCAUCACCUCGCGGUGCAAGCUGUAGUGGGAGCCACAGGCCGCCCACUUGUAUGACGAUGCGUCGGUGGGGUUCAGGUCCCCCAACGGCAUCCACUCCCCGCAGCCGUCCACGACUUGCCCACUGGUAGCCAGCGCGUGGUUCCUACUACACUCCUUGUACUUCACCCCUUCCACCGCCAAUGCCACGACCGCCUGCCUCACCUUCUUGACGAAGCCCUUAGGGUACUUGAUGUCCAUGGCCCCCCGGUGUCACUCGGCUUCACAAAGUUUACCCACUAGUGUCUAAGGCUUGGAUUUACAAGUUAGGAUCAAUGAAGGCGAGGAAAACUCGUAAGGAUAGGAUGCGAAACGAAGUCUGUGAGUUUAGGGUAUAAAAAGAGCAACAAUUACUCUACCGACAGAUAUUAUUAAUCCAUGUAAUUAGUAGUGACUAUAGAAAAGACAAAAUCUCGAAAGAUCGUAGUGAUAAAUUAAUAUUGGAUCAUGACAACAUGCAUGGACCGCUGAUCAUAAAAUCAAGACAGGCACCAUCGAAACCUAACCAUUUUUUGUUUGACCUUGCUCAUUUUUUAGUUCUCAAAUUACUGCUGCAUUGUCAAUAGAUUUUUUUGUCAAAAAUAGCUUUUUGCAGGGGUCUUCGUCACAUAGAUGGACAGGACGCGUGUAGACCACCAUUGUACAUUUUUUGACCAUGUAUAGUUGUUAAUCAAUACAAAAUAUAAUUACCCUGGAUUUGAGAUGUUAUCCUAUAUAAAAACCACCCCCACUAAUCUAUUUAUCUUGACAUGCAGCAUAUCGGCCUCAACAUGUAUGCCCCACAUGUGCCACCUUCUGCCACUUUAGCGACUCUUUAAAUGCAGCGUUCAGUUACCAAUGUGCAGAACCGACUGUCCACCCGCCUUCUCUCCAUUUCCACUUUCCAGCCAUAAAUCGUGGAUGCCUCUCUCCCUCCCUCGGAAAUAAACACAAACUGAUCGACCUCUCUCCCCCAGAAAAAUUGACGCCAGUUUUCUCCUUGGCUACAGGUGCAGCAGGCCUGCAGGUGGGAGCCGAUCUGUGCAUCAAGGGUCCUCCCAUGGCACGUCCGUUGGUGCUGCUCGCCUCCGCGGUUCUCUAAAAUUCUCUAUGGUAUGAUCCCCCUUGGCCCUUGCAGGUUUGGUGCCAUAUGUGCCCUAGUCCUCCCCUCCUGUGUGUGUCUCUAUUCAGGCUAAGACAGCUUCGGCGUCGUUGGGAAGGUCAGUACCGGCCGGUUCCAAUAGAAUCGGACCAGCUAUAGGAACGCCCAGUGUACCCGAGUCCAAUCAGGUCACCACGCCAUCAAAUUUUCAAUAUUUUUCCUUCUCAUGCUAGAGGGAACGCAUUGUUGUGACGAGGCAGGGCCUCAGCCAUGGCGUUGAGGUUUUUCUUUUGGCUUGGAAGGAACGCCCAGUGUGCAGGAGUCCUUUCAUCUGAAUUUAGAACUCUGAUGUUUCUAACAGUAUGCAAGUUUGUAAAUUGCUCCAUUGAAUAGAUUAGUAUACAAAGUGCUCUUCCCAUCAGGUUAUUCUUAGCCAUGGUGUGGAUAUUUUUAUUUUGGCCUAGAAGGAAUGCCCAGUGUACAUGUGUCCUUUCCUGUGAAUUUAAAACUAUGAUAUUUCUAUUAGUAUACAAGUUUGUACAUUGCUCCAUUGAGCAGGUUAGUA